rnacentral:rRNA from 1 species
AAUCAACCGAGAUUCCCUUAGUAGUGGCGAGCGAACAGGGACCAGCCUAUAAGCUAUUUAUCAGUUAAUAAAUUAGAAAAAUAUUCUAUUCCAGAAUAUUUUUCUAAUUUAUUAACUGAUAAAUUAGAAAAAUAUUCUGGAAUAGAAUAGCAAUAAAAGGUGAUAGCCCUGUAUUCAAAAAUUUAUUUUCUGUGAGCUUAAAAAGUAGGACGGGACACGUGGUAUCCUGUCUGAAGAUGGGGGGACCAUCCUCCAAGGCUAAAUACUCCUGACUAAUCGAUAGUGAACUAGUACCGUGAGGGAAAGGUGAAAAGAACCACAGUAAGGGCAGUGAAAUAGAACCUGAAACCAUGUACGUACAAGCAGUGGAAGCAUCUUUAUUUAGAUGUGACUGCGUACCUUUUGUAUAAUGGGUCAGAGACUUAUAUUUUGUAGCAAGGUUAACCGUAUAGGGGAGCCGUAGGGAAACCGAGUCUUAACAGGGCGUUAAGUUGCAGGAUAUAGACCCGAAACCCGGUGAUUUAGCUAUGGGCAGAUUGAAGGUUAGGUAACACUAACUGGAGGAUCGAACUGACUAAUGUUGCAAAAUUAGCGGAUGACUUGUGGCUAGGAGUGAAAGACUAAUCAAACGGGAGAUAGCUGGUUCUCCCCGAAAGCUAUUUAGGUAGCGCCUUAUGAAUUCAUCUUUGGGGGUAGAGCACUGUUUUGGCUAAGGGUCCAUCUUGGAUUACUAAACCAAUGCAAACUACGAACACUAAAGAAGGUUAUCAUGGGAGACACACGAUGGGUGCUAACGUCCAUCGUGAAAAGGGAAACAACCCAGACCGCCAGCUAAGGUCCCAAAAUCAUAAUUAAGUGGAAAACGAUGUGGGAAGUCAUAAACAACCAGGAUGUUGGCUUAGAAGCAGCCAUCAUUUAAAGAAAGCGUAAUAGCUCACUGGUCGAGUCAUCCUGCGCGGAAAAUGUAACGGUUGAUCAAUCUGUG